rnacentral:rRNA from 1 species
GACGAACGCUGGCGGCGUGCUUAACACAUGCAAGUCGAACGGAAAGGCCCUGCUUUUGUGGGGUUCUCGAUUGGCGAACGGGUGAGUAACACGUGAGUAACCUGCCCUUGACUUUGGGAUAACUUCAGGAAACUGGGGCUAAUACCGGAGAGAAUCUCCUGCUGCAUGGUGUGGGUUGGAAAGUUUCGGCGGUUGGGGCUGGACUCGCGGCUUAUCAGCUGGUUUGUGGGGUAGGUGCUUACCAAGGCUUUGACGGGUAGCCGGCCUGAGAGGGUGACCGGGCACCAUAGGACUGAGAUACGCACCAGACUCCUACGGGCGGCAGCAGUCGGGAACCUUGCAGAGUGGCGGGAAGCCUGAUGCAGAAACGCCGCGUGCGGGAUGCCGGCCUUCGGGUUGUAAACCGAUUUCGAAUGUGCCGAAGCGUGAGUGACGGUAAUGGGUAAAGAAGCACCGGCUAACUACGUG